rnacentral:rRNA from 1 species
GACGAACGCUGGCGGCGUGCUUAACACAUGCAAGUCGAACGGAAAGGCCCUGCUUUUGUGGGGUGCUCGAGUGGCGAACGGGUGAGUAACACGUGAGUAACCUGCCCUUGACUUUGGGAUAACUUCAGGAAACUGGGGCUAAUACCGGAUAGGAGCUCCUGCUGCAUGGUGGGGGUUGGAAAGUUUCGGCGGUUGGGGAUGGACUCGCGGCUUAUCAGCUUGUUGGUGGGGUAGUGGCUUACCAAGGCUUUGACGGGUAGCCGGCCUGAGAGGGUGACCGGCCACAUUGGGACUGAGAUACGGCCCAGACUCCUACGGGAGGCAGCAGUGGGGAAUAUUGCACAAUGGGCGGAAGCCUGAUGCAGCAACGCCGCGUGCGGGAUGACGGCCUUCGGGUUGUAAACCGCUUUCGCCUGUGACGAAGCGUGAGUGACGGUAAUGGGUAAAGAAGCACCGGCUAACUACGUGCCAGCAGCCGCGGUGAUACGUAGGGUGCGAGCGUUGUCCGGAUUUAUUGGGCGUAAAGGGCUCGUAGGUGGUUGAUCGCGUCGGAAGUGUAAUCUUGGGGCUUAACCCUGAGCGUGCUUUCGAUACGGGUUGACUUGAGGAAGGUAGGGAAGAAUGGAAUUCCUGGUGGAGCGGUGGAAUGCGCAGAUAUCAGGAGGAACACCAGUGGCGAAGGCGGUUCUCUGGGCCUUUCCUGACGCUGAGGAGCGAAAGCGUGGGGAGCGAACAGGCUUAGAUACCCUGGUAGUCCACGCUGUAAACGGUGGGUACUAGGUGUGGGGUCCAUUCCACGGGUUCCGUGCCGUAGCUAACGCUUUAAGUACCCCGCCUGGGGAGUACGGCCGCAAGGCUAAAACUCAAAGGAAUUGACGGGGCCCCGCACAAGCGGCGGAGCAUGCGGAUUAAUUCGAUGCAACGCGUAGAACCUUACCUGGGUUUGACAUGGAUCGGGAGUGCUCAGAGAUGGGUGUGCCUCUUUUGGGGUCGGUUCACAGGUGGUGCAUGGCUGUCGUCAGCUCGUGUCGUGAGAUGUUGGGUUAAGUCCCGCAACGAGCGCAACCCUUGUUCACUGUUGCCAGCACGUUAUGGUGGGGACUCAGUGGAGACCGCCGGGGUCAACUCGGAGGAAGGUGGGGAUGACGUCAAGUCAUCAUGCCCCUUAUGUCCAGGGCCUCACGCAUGCUACAAUGGCUGGUACAGAGAGUGGCGAGCCUGUGAGGGUGAGCGAAUCUCGGAAAGCCGGUCUCAGUUCGGAUUGGGGUCUGCAACUCGACCUCAUGAAGUCGGAGUCGCUAGUAAUCGCAGAUCAGCAACGCUGCGGUGAAUACGUUCCCGGG